CCUACGGGAGGCAGCAGUGAGGAAUAUUGGUCAAUGGACGCAAGUCUGAACCAGCCAUGCCGCGUGCAGGAAGACGGCUCUAUGAGUUGUAAACUGCUUUUGUACGAGGGUAAACGCAGAUACGCGUAUCUGUCUGAAAGUAUCGUACGAAUAAGGAUCGGCUAACUCCGUGCCAGCAGCCGCGGUAAUACGGAGGAUUCAAGCGUUAUCCGGAUUUAUUGGGUUUAAAGGGUGCGUAGGCGGUCGGAUAAGUUAGAGGUGAAAUCCCGAGGCUCAACUUCGGAAUUGCCUCUGAUACUGUUCGGCUAGAGAGUAGUUGCGGUAGGCGGAAUGUAUGGUGUAGCGGUGAAAUGCUUAGAGAUCAUACAGAACACCGAUUGCGAAGGCAGCUUACCGGCGCUCAACUGACGCUCAUGCACGAAAGUGUGGGUAUCGAACAGGAUUAGAUACCCGAGUAGUC
rnacentral:rRNA from 1 species